GGACGAACGCUGGCGGCGUGCUUAACACAUGCAAGUCGAACGAGAAUCAAUGGAUAGAGGAUUCGUCCAAUUGAAGUUGAGGAAAGUGGCGGACGGGUGAGUAACGCGUGAGGAACCUGCCUUUCAGAGGGGGACAACAGUUGGAAACGACUGCUAAUACCGCAUAACGCAUAGAGGUCGCAUGAUCUUUAUGCCAAAGAUUUAUCGCUGAAAGAUGGCCUCGCGUCUGAUUAGCUAGUUGGUGAGGUAACGGCCCACCAAGGCGACGAUCAGUAGCCGGACUGAGAGGUUGACCGGCCACAUUGGGACUGAGAUACGGCCCAGACUCCUACGGGAGGCAGCAGUGGGGAAUAUUGGGCAAUGGGCGCAAGCCUGACCCAGCAACGCCGCGUGAAGGAAGAAGGCUUUCGGGUUGUAAACUUCUUUGACAGGGGAAGAGUAGAAGACGGUACCCUGAAAACAAGCCACGGCUAACUACGUG
rnacentral:rRNA from 1 species